CGUCUAUAUACGUAUAGCAUAUCAAUAAGCGGAGGAAAAGAAACUAACUAGGAUUCCCUCAGUAACGGCGAGUGAAGCGGGAAGAGCUCAAAUUUGAAAUCUUCAAGGUUCUACCUUGACGAAUUGUAGUUUAAAGAAGUGUUUUCUGUUGGAGUUUUGGUAAAAGUUCUUUGGAAUAGGACAUCAUAGAGGGUGAGAAUCCCGUAUUUGACCAUUAUUUCCAACUUUGUGAUACACUUUCAAAGAGUCGGAUUGUUUGGGAAUGCAGUCCAAAAUGGGUGGUAAAUUUCAUCUAAAGCUAAAUACUGGCGAGAGACCGAUAGCGAACAAGUACCGUGAGGGAAAGAUGAAAAGAACUUUGAAAAGAGAGUUAAACAGUACGUGAAAUUGUCAAAAGGGAAGCGUUUGACACCAGUGUUGUUUUCUCGAAAAUCAAUUAAAAAUGGCUGGGAUUUUGUGUUGUAUUGACUUUAUCAGCUUUCUGCACUUUUUUCCUGUCUUUUUUAAUGCACUUUUCGUUUAACAAGUCAACAUCAAUUUCUUUUGUUGUAAAAGAGUCAUUGGAAGGUGGCUUUCUUUUCGGAGAAAGUGUUUAUAGCCUUUGACUUCUGCAAUCGGAGAGAUUGAGGUCUGCAGCGUAGAUCCUUCGGGGUUAGAUAGCAUUUGUGCUAAGCUAUAGCCUUUCAUAGACAACUUGUUGACUAUGAUCAGUCAUGUAGCUUACUCGCUUAUGUUAUUUUACCUACGCUUAGGAUGUUGAUCUGUAGUGCGUGCGC
rnacentral:rRNA from 1 species